rnacentral:rRNA from 1 species
AUUGAACGCUGGCGGCAUGCUUUACACAUGCAAGUCGAGCGGUAACAGGCCUUCGGGUGCUGACGAGUGGCGCACGGGUGAGUAAUGCAUCGGAACGUACCCAGAGGUGGGGGAUAACGCAGCGAAAGCUGUGCUAAUACCGCAUGUGAUCUGAGGAUGAAAGCGGGGGACCGAGCAGCAAUGUUUGGCCUCGCGCCUUUGGAGCGGCCGAUGUCGGAUUAGCUAGUUGGUGGGGUAAAGGCCUACCAAGGCGACGAUCCGUAGCUGGUCUGAGAGGACGAUCAGCCACACUGGGACUGAGACACGGCCCAGACUCCUACGGGAGGCAGCAGUGGGGAAUUUUGGACAAUGGGCGCAAGCCUGAUCCAGCAAUGCCGCGUGCGGGAAGAAGGCCUUCGGGUUGUAAACCGCUUUUGGCAGGAACGAAACGGUGUCCGCUAAUACCGGGCGCUAAUGACGGUACCUGCAGAAUAAGCACCGGCUAACUACGUG